AAGAAUGCCCCGAACUUAUCUGAAUUAUGAAUCAUUUUAAAUUUAACUGUCUAAUUUUUUUUUUAAUUUUAAUUUUAUUAUACAAUUUUUUAAUUUAUUUAUUUGACUUGAGUCGGUCGGUCGGCGAAAUUUUGACGUCAAAAUUUAAACCAAUUGAUUAUUUUAAUAAAUUUAUAGUUACAAGAAUUGCAUGAAAUAUAUUAAUUAAAUCUGUAAAGAUAAACAACACAUUUAAAUUUUAAAGUCAAAGUACUGUCGAUUGAUUCAAAUCAGGUAAAUUAGAAGAUUGGAUAAUAAAAUUAAAAUUUUAAAAAAUUAGAUAAAUAAAAAUAAAAAAGAUCCAUAGUUUUG
rnacentral:lncRNA from 1 species